rnacentral:rRNA from 1 species
GGAAUAUUGGGCAAUGGCCGAAAGGCUGACCCAGCAACGCCGCGUGAGGGAUGAAGCUCUAAGGAGUGUAAACCUCUUUCGGAAGGGAAGAAUCCUUGUGCAGUAAAUAAUUGCACGAAUUGACGGUACCUUCCAAAGAAGCCCCGGCUAACUCCGUGCCAGCAGCCGCGGUAAUACGGGGGGGCAAGCGUUGUCCGGAAUCAUUGGGCGUAAAGGGCGCGUAGGCGGAAUAGUAAGUUAGAGGUGAAAAUUCAGGGCUUAACCCUGGACCUGCCUUUAAUACUGCUGUUCUCGAGUGCGAGAGAGGAAAGCGGAAUUCCCGGUGUAGCGGUGAAAUGCGUAGAUAUCGGGAAGAACACCGGUAGCGAAGGCGGCUUUCUGGCUCGUAACUGACGCUGAGGCGCGAAAGCGUGGGGAGCGAAC